CCUACGGGAGGCAGCAGUAGGGAAUAUUGCUCAAUGGGGGAAACCCUGAAGCAGCAACGCCGCGUGGAGGAUGAAGGUUUUCGGAUUGUAAACUCCUUUUGUUAGAGAAGAUAAUGACGGUAUCUCACGAAUAAGCACCGGCUAACUCCGUGCCAGCAGCCGCGGUAAUACGGAGGGUGCAAGCGUUACUCGGAAGCACUGGGCGUAAAGAGCGCGUAGGCGGGAUAGCAAGUCAGAUGUGAAAUCCUAUGGCUAAACCAUCGCACUGCAUUUGAAACUGUUAUUCUAGAGUAUGGGAGAGGUAGGUGGAAUUCUUGGUGUAGGGGUAAAAUGCGUAGAGAUCAAGAGGAAUACUCAUGGCGAAGGCGAUCUGCUAGAACAUAACUGACGCUGAUGCGCGAAAGCGUGGGUAUCGAACAGGAUUAGAUACCCGUGUAGUC
rnacentral:rRNA from 1 species